AAUACUUCUAAGGCUCUGCCGGGGGUCUCCAAAGAAAAUAUACAAUGAACAUCGGACACUGCAACUCUUCUCACUAAGACCUCCCUGUCAGGGUCAGGUCAGGCAGCAAAAUACUCCUGAUUUCCACUCUGCCUGCUUGGGAUCUGCUGUGGGCAGCUCUGGAGGCAGGUCAAAAGGUAAGUAAGAUGGGCUCUGGAGGACGGUGGGCAGCUAUACCUUCUCCUCUGUCCCCACAGUCCUGGUCUCCAUACAGCGGUGUUGUAUCCUUCCUUCACAUCCACAGAUGACGUGAGGGACCACAGAGUCAGACAGGAUGGAGAUCAAUCAACUGGCUUGAGCCUCCCAGCCUCUUCCCCUGAUGUCUCCCUGGUUCUGAGUGGAUUUCAUCUUGGUCAGCAUGUGGACACAGAGGAAUGACAGCGAGAUGGUGAGCCUCACACUGGCAUGGGCACAUCUGCACAGGCUGUCCCUUGGGUUCUCAGGACUGCUCUGCAGUAACCCGCAGAUGAUAGCCAUGGGCCCAGAAGCAACCUGAGGA
rnacentral:lncRNA from 1 species